rnacentral:rRNA from 1 species
UACAGAGGGGGCAAGCGUUAUUCGGAAUUAUUGGGCGUAAAGGGCGCGUAGGCGGCUUGGCAAGUGGAUGGUGAAAUCCCUCGGCUUAACCGAGGAACUGCCGUCCAAACUGCUUCGCUUGAGACCGGGAGAGGUGAGUGGAAUUCCCAGUGUAGCAGUGAAAUGCGUAGAUAUCAGGAGGAACACCGGUGGCGAAGGCGGGUCUCUGGGCCGAUACUGACGCUGAGGAGCGAAAGCGUGGGGAGCGAACAGG